AGAACGAACGCUGGCGGCAGGCCUCAAACAUGCAAGUCUAGGGGGUGUAGCAAUACAUCACCGGCGGACGGGUGCGUAACGCGUGGGAACAUACCUUUCGGUACGGAACAACUGCGGGAAACUGCAGCUAAUACCGUAUACGCCCUUACGGGGAAAGAUUUAUCGCCGAAGGAUUGGCCCGCGUUCGAUUAGCUAGUUGGUGAGGUAACGGCUCACCAAGGCUACGAUCGAUAGCUGUUCUGAGAGGAAGAUCAGCCACACUGGGACUGAGACACGGCCCAGACUCCUACGGGAGGCAGCAGUUGGGAAUCUUGGACAAUGGGGAAACCCUGAUCCAGCCAUGCCGCGUGAGUGAUGAAGGCCUUCGGGUUGUAAAACUCUUUCGACGGGGACGAUAAUGACGGUACCCGUAGAAGAAGCUCCGGCUAACUUCGUGCCAGCAGCCGC
rnacentral:rRNA from 1 species